UACCAGCACCCCGAGUGGUCGGGACGAUUAUUGGGCCUAAAGCAUCCGUAGCCGGCCUUACAAGUCCUCCGUUAAAUCCAGCUGCUUAACAGAUGGGCUGCGGAGGAUACUAUAAGACUAGGAGGCAGGAGAGGCAAGCGGUACUCAGUGGGUAGGGGUAAAAUCCGUUUGAUCCAUUGAAGACCACCAGUGGCGAAGGCGGCUUGCCAGAAUGCGCUCGACGGUGAGGGAUGAAGCUGGGGGAGCAAACCGG
rnacentral:rRNA from 1 species